rnacentral:sRNA from 1 species
GCUUAGAAAAUGAGAUGAUGUUUUCUAGCAAAUAUAAACCCGAGUAAAAAAUGCUUACGGACAGGCAGGGUUGAAUGCCGAAGCGUGGUUGAAAAGCCACAUUAUUGAUAGGGUUAAAAGCCUACUUUUAUAAGUUGAUGUUAGGACACUUGUCCUAAUUCAUAAAUUUUUAGUGUGGUGAAAGCACACGUCAUCUUGUGAAACGAUCAAUAAAGUACGUAAUAUUUGCUACUAGAGAGUUAGGAAACAUCGGGAACAGACAUACUCAACAGAAACCAAAAUAAACACGUCAGAAGAUUGCAGAGCAGGUGAAAACCUGCUCUUUUUU